CAGUCGCCGCGGGAAUACGAAGGGUGCAAGCGUUAAUCGGAAUUACUGGGCGUAAAGCGUGCGUAGGCGGUGAGUUAAGUCUGCUGUGAAAUCCCCGGGCUCAACCUGGGAAUGGCAGUGGAUACUGGCUCGCUAGAGUGUGUCAGAGGAUGGUGGAAUUCCCGGUGUAGCGGUGAAAUGCGUAGAGAUCGGGAGGAACAUCUGUGGCGAAGGCGACUAUCUGGGCCAACACUGACACUGAGACACGAAAGCGUGGGGAGCAAACAGGAUUAGAUACCCGCGUAGUCCCUGUCUCUUAUAC
rnacentral:rRNA from 1 species